AAGUCGUAACAAGGUUUCCGUAGGUGAACCUGCGGAAGGAUCAUCAGUGAUUGUUAGGUUGUUAGCUCGCAAGGGCUAAUAGCCACCAAACUCACAACGGCCGAUAAUUGAUUAUUAGGAGAGGAGAGUGGUGAGGCUGGGACUAGGCAGGCUUUUUUUUUUAGGUCUGGUUAGUCAUUAGUUCACCGCUCCUCCCUAUUACAAACAACACCCUUUAAUAAACAGUCAAAAACAAGAAAAUCCAAAAAAAUACAACUUUCAACAAUGGAUCUCUUGGCUCUU
rnacentral:misc_RNA from 1 species